GCAGUCGUGGCCUAAUGGUUAGCGCGUCGGACUUACAACCCGAAGGUCAUGGGUUCGAGUCCCGGCGCUCUGAA